UACUUCUAGUGUCAGCCAAGGAAAACCUUCUUUAAGACGAAUUAAAGGGAGACUACACAGAAGCAAAAGCCUUGAUAGCAUCGAUUUCUGUGAACUCACUAGACAGCUGGUUGGGCACUGACAACAGAAAGACAUGAGGGUGAGAGAGAACUCUCUGGAAGCUCAUCAUGAAUAGGCUGUCAAGGGAGGUGGACUCAAAGCUGCCUGUAUAACUUGUGGGAUCCAGUGCACAGUGAAAGUACAGGACCCUCUGUUCAAAAAGCAGAAAAAAGUAUCCUUAAAGGUACAUAUAGUUCAUAUAGUUUUAUCAUUUAUCUUUACAUUGGACUAGUUUUUUUGUUUUUUUGUUUUGGUUUUCGUCUUUGUUUUGGUUUGCUUUUUGCUUAUUUUAGGGCCACAACUGCAGCAAAUGGAAGUUCCCAGGCUAGGGGUCAAAUUGGAGCUGCAGUUGCUGGCCUACACCACAGCCACAGCAACGCCAUAUCUGUGCCACAUAUAUAGCCUACACCACAGCUCUUGGCAAUGCUGGAUCCUUUAGCCCAGUGAUCAAGGGCAUGGAUUGAACCCACACCCUCAUGGAUACUAGUUAGGUUCUCAGCUAGAUGAGCUACAAUGGGAACUCCUCAGGCUAGUUUUAAAUGCAAAGAUGAGAACAUUUAACUUGGGAGUUCCUGCUGUGGUGAAGAGGGUUAAGGAUCUGGCAUUGUCUCUGUGGUAGUAUGGAUUCAAUCCCCAGCCUGGUGUACUGGGUUAAGGAUCUGGCAUUGCUGUAGCUGUAGACAGGGUCACAGCUGUGGCUCAGAUUCAAUCCCUGGCCUGGAAAACAUCCAUAUGCUACAAGUGUGGCCAAAAACAGUUAAAUUGUAUGAGGAAUUACUUAAAUUAUAUAAUUCCUAUUUCCUGGUUUGUCUCCGGAGUUUGUCCCUUAAGCUGGCCAGAAGACAUAAUUACAGGCAGACUUAGAAAGGUCUGGAGGAGAGAGGACCCCAAACAGGGACAGAUGGGGGAACAGCCUUGGACCUGGGAAUAAUCACAGGCAGAACAGUCCCUCAGGGGUUCUGGGGGUCCCAUUUGCCUGCUAGGCCUACCAGAACCCUUUUGUCACAAGCCGCCUGACCCAGAUGCCCUGGCUAUGCACAAGGUCUGGGGAAGUCAAGCUCCUCGCCUGCUGCUGCAGCCUGUAGCAACCCGCAGCCACCUAAGAUCCUUAAACCUCCAUGCUGGGAAGGCUUGGUGCCUGAAUGGGGGCCAAAAGAGAAGCUCCCCUGCCAAGGUGGGAAAUGGUGCUGCCUGCCAUCCAGGCUCUUAGAUCUCACUGGAUCACUGUCAGGGACAGAGGGCCAGGAUUCAGGAGUCAUGGAAAUGGCAGCACUCCCCAGGGAGGCACAGGGGACAGAACCAAUGUGAUUUGAGGCUCCAGGUCCCCAGUGUGUCUCCGUUGUCCCUUGACCCUGACUUAAAAAGCAUAAAUCCAGAGUAAAUUCAUAAAGUCAAGACAUUACUGCAGGGCACAUGCCCCAACUGCUGGCACACCUUUGAAGGUAGCCUGGGUGGGGUCAGGAUUUUACAUUUUUGUUUUUCUUUUUUCCUCUCUUUUUAAGAUGGGAGACACUAGGGGAAGCUUGAAUUCAGAGAGGUAGACUCUUAUACCUGAGCGAGGACAAAGAUGAUGGCCAGACAGAAGGGAUUGGGGUGGGGAGGGGGCAUCCCCCAGAUGGGAUUCCCAGCCCAGGGGGGAGGGAAAGAGAGAAGAAAAGCAUAUGUUUAAGGUAGGUGUGUCAUAUUUGGCAGGAAGGGAAAGGAGUUUCCAUUCCUUAGUUUCUUUUUUUCUCUGUGAAUUAUUUGCUUGGGCUGGGGAGGGGGUCUUUGAGGGAUCAUUAGGAGAGUGUAGAAGAUGGGAUGCAGAAGCUGUGAAGGAGAAAUGAGUCAGAGGCUUGACCUACAGUCCAGCUAAGUCAUGGAUCCCAUGGAAUUAAGGAGUUUCCAUUCUGCCUGGUUGUGUGACAUUCAGGACCCUAAAAAGAGAAAGCCCUAGGCAGAGGCAGGAUGGCCCCCUUCUUCCUUAGGAGGAACUCUUCUUAGGAAAGACUAUACUUUAUUUUGAACUGAAUAAAAAAUGCCUUGUUUUUAGUGUUUACAUAUCCUUUUGUUGUUGUUGUUGUUUUCCUUUGUCUUUUUAGGGUCAUACCCAUGGCAUAUGGAGGUUCCCAGAACUGUAGCUGCUGGCCUACACCACAGCCGCAGCAACAUGGGAUCUGAGCUGCAUCUGUGACCAAUACCACAGCUCACAGCAACGCCAGAUCCUUAACCAGGGAUCGAAACUAUGUCCCCACGGAUCCUAGUCAGAUUCGUUUCUGCUGAGCCACAAUGGGAACUCCUACAUGCCCUUUUAAAAAAUGAAAUUAUGUUGGUGAUAGUAACAUUCUUUUAGUUUUUUUGUGUGUGGCAAAACCUUUGAUAUAAAAUUUACAUUUUAUAUCAUAAACUCCCAUAAUGUUUGUUUUUAAAUGUCUUUACUUUGCAAAAUAAAAUAAGAUUAAAAUCUGGUCAUCCUAUAUUGUACCCCUAAAUUUUUUUUUUGAAAUGUUACUGAUCUGUGAAACCUAGAAACUUUAUGAGCCUUAAAGAGCUUUUCCUGGAGUUCCUGUCAUGGUGCUGCGGAAGCAAAUCUGACUAGGAACCAUGAGAUUGCAGGUUCUAUCCCUGGCCUUGCUCAGUGGGCUAAGGGUCUGGUGUUGCUGUGAGCUGUGGUGUAGGUUGAAGACACAGCUCAGAUCUGGCAUUGCUGUGGCUGUGGCGUAGGUUGGCAGCUAUAGCUCUGAUUUGACCCUAGCCUGGGAACCUCUGUAUGUUGCAAAUGCAGCCCUAAAAAGCAAAAAACAAACAAAAAAAAGCUUUUCCUUAUUUAAAGGGUGUCAUACACCUUUACUGGCAGAAGAAAACUGAAGCAAUUUAUACAGUUUUUAAAAAUAUGGCACAAGAGUUAGAUUGGAAUUAUUUAUUUUGUUGUAACAAUACUUUGAUAACGUUCUCCUAAUUCUAGUAUUUUGUAUAUAUAUUUUCUUCUGUAAAAUUAUCUAGAUUGUCUCAUUUUCUGCCACGGGAGCUUUAUUUCCCCUUUGUGUUUCAUGUGUAAACUCACAGCUCAUACUAAAAAUAACACAUACGCUUUUCUAAAGAUUUUUUUUUUUUCGUAAUGGAAACAUACUUAUAGAAAAUGUGGGUAUGGAUAAAGUUGUUUGUCUGGGCA
rnacentral:lncRNA from 1 species